rnacentral:lncRNA from 1 species
UAAAUUUUUAAAUAUCAGGGCAGUGUAUAAAUUCGAGGUCGGCCAAUCUUUUGGAUGGAUAACCCGUUUUAUUUGUAUAGAAGAAUAUGCUACUAAAUUUUUAUGGUUUUUAUCAAAAUUAUGUUUUAUUUUUACUGAAUCUGUUUCUUCCAAAAUACUACAAUAAUAUUCCUGAGGUUUUGAAAGAUUUUUUGGUGUGAAAUACCA